UUUAGUGGCGGACGGGUGAGUAACACGUGAGCAACCUGCCUUCGAGAGGGGAAUAACGGCUGGAAACGGUCGCUAAUACCGCAUAACGUACGGAUGGGACAUCCUGUCUGUACCAAAGAUUUAUCGCUCGAAGAUGGGCUCGCGUCCGAUUAGGUAGUUGGUGAGGUAACGGCCCACCAAGCCGACGAUCGGUAGCCGGACUGAGAGGUUGAACGGCCACAUUGGGACUGAGACACGGCCCAGACUCCUACGGAAGGCAGCAG
rnacentral:rRNA from 1 species